rnacentral:rRNA from 1 species
CCCUUAGAUUUUCUGGGCUGCACGCGCGCUACACUGAUGCGAUCAACAAGUUUUUCCUAUGUCGAUAGACACGGGUAAUCUUUUGAACUCGCAUCGUGAUGGGGAUAGAUUAUUGUAAUUAUUAAUCUUCAACGAGGAAUUCCUAGUAGGUGCAAAUCAUCAGUUUGCAUCGAUUACGUCCCUGCCCUUUGUACACACCGCCCGUCGCUGCUACCGAUUGGUUGAUCUGGUGAAUUAUUCGGACUGCCGGCUGAAGGGGUUUCCUCAUCUGCCAGCGGAAAGUCUUGUUAACCCUAUCAACUAGAGGAAGCAGAAGUCGUAACA